rnacentral:tRNA from 1 species
GUCCUUGUAGCUUACAAAAAGCAUGACNCUGAAGAUGUCAAGACGGNUGCCAUACACACCCAAGGACAAAAGACUUAG